rnacentral:rRNA from 1 species
GACGAACGCUGGCGGCGUGCUUAACACAUGCAAGUCGAACGAAGUGGGAACGGGUGAGUAAUACGUGGGUAACCUCCCUACUUUUUGGGAUAAGCCUUGGAAACGGGGUCUAAACCGAAUAGAUGGGCUCGCGGCCUAUCAGCUUGUUGGUGGGGUGAUGGCCUACCAAGGCGGUGACGGGUAGCCGGCCGGAGAGGGUGAACGGGCACAAUUGGACUUGGAAACGGGCCAGACUCCUACGGGAGGCAGCAGUGGGGAAUCUUCCGGAAAUGACGAAAGUCUGACGGAGCAACGCCGCGGGAGUGAUGACGGCUUUCGGGUUGUAAAGCUUUGUUAAUCGGGACGCGGUACCGGAAUAGAAAGCCACGGCUAACUACGUGCCAGCCGCCGCGGUAAUAC